rnacentral:lncRNA from 1 species
GUACCAAAACCUAUCGAUUUGUCAUAGGUUAUAUUGUCUAUUUGGUUUAAAUUAUGGCUAUGAAGUUAUGUCUUUUGCUGAAGAUUUAAUCAACAGUUUUAUUAUUUAAUAAUUUAAUUUUGGAUGUAACGCCUCUUGUGAUUGGCCGACUUUAUUUUGUUAUCAGACCAUAGACAUAAUUUAAUCAUGUGACUGUGACGUCAUCUACAUUUUUUCAAGGUUUUCUACGGUUUAAAAUGGAAUUUAGAAUUAAAUUAUAAAAAAUGACUAUAAUAUUUUUUUCUGUCUAUUCGAAAUAACAUAAAAAAUGUG